GACGAACGCUGGCGGCGUGCUUAACACAUGCAAGUCGAACGGAAAGGCCCUGCUCUUGUGGGGUGCGCGAGUGGCGAACGGGGGAGUAACACGUGAGUAACCUGUCCUUGACUUUGGGAGAACAUCAGGAAACUGGGGCUAAUACCGGAUAGGAGCUCCUGCUGCAUGGUGGGGGUGGGUAAGUUGCGGUGUUUGGGCAUGGACGCGCGGUCUAUCAGCUUGUUGGUGGGGUAGUGGCUUACCAAGGCUUCGACGGGUAGCCGGCCUGGGAGGGUGACCGGCCCCAUUGGGCCUGAGAUGCGACCAGGACUCCUUCGGGAGGCAGCAGUGGGGAAUAUUGCGAGAUGGGCGGCGGCCGUGUGCAGCAACUCCGCAUGCUGGAUCACGGCCUUCGGGUUGUAACGCGCUUGCGCCUGUGACGAAGCGUGAGUGACGGUAAUGGGUAAAGAAGCACCGGCUAACUACGUG
rnacentral:rRNA from 1 species